AGUGAACGCUGGCGGUAGGCCUAACACAUGCAAGUCGAACGGCAGCACAGUAAGAGCUUGCUCUUACGGGUGGCGAGUGGCGGACGGGUGAGGAAUACAUCGGAAUCUACUUUUUCGUGGGGGAUAACGUAGGGAAACUUACGCUAAUACCGCAUACGACCUACGGGUGAAAGCAGGGGAUCUUCGGACCUUGCGCGAUUGAAUGAGCCGAUGUCGGAUUAGCUAGUUGGCGGGGUAAAGGCCCACCAAGGCGACGAUCCGUAGCUGGUCUGAGAGGAUGAUCAGCCACACUGGAAAUGAGACACGGUCCAGACUCCUACGGGAGGCAGCAGUGGGGAAUAUUGGACAAUGGGCGCAAGCCUGAUCCAGCCAUACCGCGUGGGUGAAGAAGGCCUUCGGGUUGUAAAGCCCUUUUGUUGGGAAAGAAAAGCAGCAGGUUAAUAACACGCUGUUCUGACGGUACCCAAAGAAUAAGCACCGGCUAACUUCGUG
rnacentral:rRNA from 1 species